GACGAACGCUGGCGGCGUGCUUAACACAUGCAAGUCGAACGGAAAGGCCCUGCUUUUGUGGGGUGCUCGAGUGGCGAACGGGUGAGUAACACGUGAGUAACCUGCCCUUGACUUUGGGAUAACUUCAGGAAACUGGGGCUAAUACCGGAUAGGAGCUCCUGCUGCAUGGUGGGGGUUGGAAAGUUUCGGCGGUUGGGGAUGGACUCGCGGCUUAUCAGCUUGUUGGUGGGGUAGUGGCUUACCAAGGCUUUGACGGGUAGCCGGCCUGAGAGGGUGACCGGCCACAUUGGGACUGAGAGACGGCGCAGACGCCUACGGGGGGCAGCAGUGGGGAAUAUUGCACAAUGGGCGGAAGCCUGAUGCAGCAACGCCGCGUGCGGGAUGACGGCCUUCGGGGUGUAAACCGCUUACGCCUGUGACGAAGCGUGAGUGACGGUAAUGGGUAAAGAAGCACCGGCUAACUACGUG
rnacentral:rRNA from 1 species